rnacentral:pre_miRNA from 14 species
GGCCAUGGAGGUGAAAGACCCCCGGAGUGGGGAGACCCUCACUCAAGUCUCGGGAUGACACGACCCCCCAAGAACUCACACAAGACC